GCAACGCGAGCCUGAACGGCUUGGUUUUUACCAAUUGGCUUUGUUGUUGCGAUGUUGUGUUUGCAAACUCGUAUUUCGAGUUCGGUAGAUUUCUACCAUGGUUUUGUUUCACUUAUCCCAAGAAACAAAACGUAUACUUCCUGUAUUUAUUUUGACCUGUCUGUCAAAUUUUUUAGCACCGCCUAAUAGGCGGUGUUUUUUUAU
rnacentral:other from 1 species